CACUAAUUAUACCCCCGCUUUAAAAAAGGGGGGUAUACUGUUUUACCUCUGUCUGUCAGUCCGUCCGUCAGUCCGUCCGUCAGUCCGUCCAUCAGUCCGUCCGUCAGUCAGUCCGUCCCAUGAAACUUUCGUCACAUUUUUCUCAGGAACUACACAUCCACCCUUUCUGUAAUUUUUGGUAUCAACAUUUAUAUAUGUCAGCCAUACCGUGUGAUGCGUUUUCAGAUUCAUCACUUGACAACUUCCUGUUUACCGAACACUUGUCUGAUUUUACACAUGAUAGCCAAGUUGAAAAUUUUCGUCACAUUUUUCUCAGGAACUACAAUACAAGGAUUUCUGAAAUUUGGUUUCACGAUUUAUAUAAGUCAGCUAUACCGUGUGAUGCGUUUUCAGAUUCAUCACUCGACAACUUCCUGUUUACCGAACACUUGUAUGAUUUUACACAUGAUAGCCAAGUUGAAAAUUUUCGUCACAUUUUUCUCAGGAACUACAAUACAAGGAUUUCUGAAAUUUGGUUUCAGGAUUUAUAUAAGUCAGCUAUACCGUGUGAUGAGUUUUCAGAUUCAUCACUCGACAACUUCCUGUUUACCGAACACUUGUAUGAUUUUACACAUGAUAACCAAGUUAAAAAUUUUCGUCACAUUUUUCUCAGGAACUACAAUACAAGGAUUUCUGAAAUUUGGUUUCAGGAUUUUUAUAAAUCAGCUAUACCGUGUGAUGCGUUUUCAGAUUCAUCACUCGACAACUUCCUGUUUACCAAACACUUGCAUAUUUUUACACUAUUAAUAUUAUCCACUUGCGGCGGGGGUAUCAUCAGUGAGCAGUAGCUCGCAGUUUCACUUGUUUCUUUU
rnacentral:lncRNA from 1 species